rnacentral:rRNA from 1 species
GACGAACGCUGGCGGCGUGCUUAACACAUGCAAGUCGAACGGAAAGGCCCUGCUUUUGUGGGGUGCUCGAGUGGCGAACGGGUGAGUAACACGUGAGUAACCUGCCCUUGACUUUGGGAUAACUUCAGGAAACUGGGGCUAAUACCGGAUAGGAGCUCCUGCUGCAUGGUGGGGGUUGGAAAGUUUCGGCGGUUGGGGAUGGACUCGCGGCUUAUCAGCUUGUUGGUGGGGUAGUGGCUGACCAAGGCUUUGACGGGUAGCCGGCCUGGGAGGGUGACCGGCCUCCUUGGGCCUGCGGUACGGCCCAGACUCCUACGGGCGGCAGCAGUGGGGAAUAUUGCACAGUGGGCGGAAGCCUGAUGCAGCAACGCCGCGUGCGGGAUGACGGCCUUCGGGUUGUAAACCGCUUUCGCCUGUGACGAAGCGUGAGUGACGGUAAUGGGUCAAGAAGCACCGGCUAACUACGUG